rnacentral:rRNA from 1 species
UGGGGAAUUUUGGACAAUGGGGGAAACCCUGAUCCAGCCAUGCCGCGUGUCUGAAGAAGGCCUUCGGGUUGUAAAGGACUUUUGUCCGGGAGGAAACCCUGGUCGUGAACAACGACCGGGACUGACAGUACCGGAAGAAUAAGCACCGGCUAACUACGUGCCAGCAGCCGCGGUAAUACGUAGGGUGCAAGCGUUAAUCGGAAUUACUGGGCGUAAAGCGUGCGCAGGCGGUGGGACAAGUCAGCUGUGAAAGCCCCGGGCUCAACCUGGGAACUGCGGUUGAAACUGUCUCGCUAGAGUACGUCAGAGGGGGGUGGAAUUCCACGUGUAGCAGUGAAAUGCGUAGAGAUGUGGAGGAACACCAAUGGCGAAGGCAGCCCCCUGGGAUGAUACUGACGCU